AGAGUUAAACAGUACGUGAAAUUGUUGAAAGGGAAACGAUUAAAGUCAGUCGUACUGACGGGGAAUCAACUUCUCGAGUGUUGAUCGGUGGGAUCAAAGUGCCUUUGUUCUCGCUGCAUCCGCAUUCUUCUGGUGCACUUCCUCGUAUUGUAGGUUAGCAUCGGUUUCGAUCGUCAUAAAAUGAUUGGAGGAAUGUGGCUUCGACCUCGGUUGAAGUGUUAUAGACUCUGGUAGAUGUGAUGAUCGAGACCGAGGAUUGCAACGGAUACCCUUAAGGGCUAUGCGCCUGGCCUCUGAUUGUCGCCUUGGUGUCGAAAGCUUGCUUUCGUCGUUAAGGUGCGCGAUCAACAGGUUAGAACGGAUUAAAUUCGUUAAGGAUGCUGACGUAAUGGCUUUAAACGA
rnacentral:misc_RNA from 1 species